rnacentral:tRNA from 1 species
UAUUAUGUAUCUUAAUAAAGUAAUGAUUUUUUAAAUCAUUUAUAGUAAUCUUAAAUUUACUCUUAAUAA